rnacentral:rRNA from 1 species
UACGUAGGGUGCGAGCGUUGUCCGGAAUUACUGGGCGUAAAGAGCUCGUAGGUGGUUUGUCGCGUUGUUCGUGAAAACUCACAGCUCAACUGUGGGCGUGCGGGCGAUACGGGCAGACUAGAGUACUGCAGGGGAGACUGGAAUUCCUGGUGUAGUGGUGGAAUGCGCAGAUAUCAGGAGGAAUACCGAUGGCGAAGGCAGGUCUCUGGGCUGACACUGACGCUCAUGCACGAAAGCGUGGGGAGCAAACAGG